CAAGUCGAGCGGGCAUCCUUCGGGAUGUUAGCGGCGGACGGGUGAGUAACGCGUGGGAACGUGCCCUUUGCUACGGAAUAGCCUCGGGAAACUGAGAGUAAUACCGUAUGUGCCCUUCGGGGGAAAGAUUUAUCGGCAAAGGAUCGGCCCGCGUUGGAUUAGGUAGUUGGUGGGGUAAUGGCCUACCAAGCCGACGAUCCAUAGCUGGUUUGAGAGGAUGAUCAGCCACACUGGGACUGAGACACGGCCCAGACUCCUACGGGAGGCAGCAGUGGGGAAUCUUAGACAAUGGGGGAAACCCUGAUCUAGCCAUGCCGCGUGAGCGAUGAAGGCCUUAGGGUUGUAAAGCUCUUUCAGUGGGGAAGAUAAUGACGGUACCCACAGAAGAAGCCCCGGCUAACUCCGUGCCAGCAGCCGCGGUAAUACGGAGGGGGCUAGCGUUGUUCGGAAUUACUGGGCGUAAAGCGCACGUAGGCGGAUUGGAAAGUCAGAGGUGAAAUCCCAGGGCUCAACCUUGGAACUGCCUUUGAAACUCCCAGUCUUGAGGUCGAGAGAGGUGAGUGGAAUUCCGAGUGUAGAGGUGAAAUUCGUAGAUAUUCGGAGGAACACCAGUGGCGAAGGCGGCUCACUGGCUCGAUACUGACGCUGAGGUGCGAAAGCGUGGGGAGCAGACAGGAUUAGAUACCCUGGUAGUCCACGCCCUAAACGAUGAAUGCCAGACGUCGGGCAGCAUGCUGUUCGGUGUCACACCUAACGGAUUAAGCAUUCCGCCUGGGGAGUACGGCCGCAAGGUUAAAACUCAAAGGAAUUGACGG
rnacentral:rRNA from 1 species